AAGCUCGUAGUUGAAUUUCGAGAUCAGUACGCUGGUCGUGCCUUCGGUAUGCACUGGUGUCACUGGUUUCUCCCUUCUGAAGAACCGUCAUGUCAUUAAGUUGGUGUGGCGGGGAAUCAGGACUGUUACUUUGAAAAAAUUAGAGUGUUUAAAGCAGGCUCGCGCUUGAAUACAUUAGCAUGGAAUAAUGAAAUAGGACGUUUGACCCUAUUUUGUUGGUUUCUAGGAUCGACGUAAUGAUUAAUAGGGAUAGUUGGGGGCAUUAGUAUUCAAUUGUCAGAGGUGAAAUUCUUGGAUUUAUUGAAGACUAACUACUGCGAAAGCAUUUGCCAAGGAUGUUUUCAUUAAUCAAGAACGAAAGUUAGGGGAUCGAAGACGAUCAGAUACCGUCGUAGUCUUAACCAUAAACUAUGCCGACUAGGGAUCGGAUGAUGUUAAUUUUUUAAUGACUCAUUCGGCGCCUUACGGGAAACCAAAGUGUUUGGGUUCCGGGGGGAGUAUGGUCGCAAGGCUGAAACUUAAAGGAAUUGACGGAAGGGCACCACCAGGGGUGGAGCCUGCGGCUUAAUUUGACUCAACGCGGGGAAA
rnacentral:rRNA from 1 species